rnacentral:rRNA from 1 species
GAUGAACGCUGGCGGCGUGCUUAACACAUGCAAGUCGAACGGUGAAAGCGGAGCUUGCUCUGCUGGAUCAGUGGCGAACGGGUGAGUAACACGUGAGCAAUCUGCCCCUGACUCUGGGAUAAGCGCUGGAAACGGCGUCUAAUACCGGAUACGAGCUGCGAAGGCAUCUUCAGCAGCUGGAAAGAACUUCGGUCAGGGAUGAGCUCGCGGCCUAUCAGCUAGUUGGUGAGGUAACGGCUCACCAAGGCGUCGACGGGUAGCCGGCCUGAGAGGGUGACCGGCCACACUGGGACUGAGACACGGCCCAGACUCCUACGGGAGGCAGCAGUGGGGAAUAUUGCACAAUGGGCGAAAGCCUGAUGCAGCAACGCCGCGUGAGGGACGACGGCCUUCGGGUUGUAAACCUCUUUUAGCAGGGAAGAAGCGAAAGUGACGGUACCUGCAGAAAAAGCGCCGGCUAACUACGUGCCAGCAGCCGCCGCAG